CCCGGUGACCAUAGCGUUGUGGAACCACGCCUUCCCAUUCCGAACAGGACCGUGAAACACUUCAGCGCCGAUGAUAGUUGGUUGUAUUUCCAGUGAAAGUAGGACAUCGCCGGGC
rnacentral:rRNA from 1 species